UGGAGACAGGCACUGUGAAUGAAAUCUACUUCUUAAAACCUUACUGCCAUGUGUCUGCAUUAAUACAUAAAAUGGAGAAGCUCUUCCUCAACUCUGAAUGCAAAUAAAUCACAUUUAGAUUAUUGCUUAGGGUUAGAAGGAUUCUAGAACACUUUUCUCUUUGUGACUUCCAAUUCUAGAAACAGCCAAUACCAAGGCUGCCCAGAUCCUUGUCUCCCAGCUUUCGUUUGGCUUUGCAGCUUCUUCCAUCCUCAUUCUAGCUUCAUUUAUGAGAUUAAAAAAAAAAGACAAUACUAUACUAUUGUCCCCUAAUAGCUUUAAAACAACUACUGAACGAAAACUUUAAGAGAACAGCUUUGCAGCUGCUAACAUUCCAACUGGGACACAUCACAGAAGAAUUAUUUUUAAUAUACGCAAUUUAGUCUUGCAAUUCUUGUUAUUAACACCCAUAUGAAAUGACAUCAAGGAGUACUUGAGACUGGGGAUUUCCUGUAGGAGGUGUGAGUGGAUUCAACAGAAGAAAACAUGGCUGCCAAAGUGUUUGAGUCCAUUGGCAAGUUUGGGCUGGUUUUAGCCAUCACAGGAGGCAUGAUGAACUCUGCCUUAUAUAACGUGGAUGCUGGGCACAGAGCUGUCAUCUUUGACCAAUUCCGUGGAGUACAGGACUUCGUGGAAGGAGAAGGGACCCACUUUCUUAUACCUUGGGUACAGAAACCAAUUAUUUUUGAUUGCCGCUCUCGACCAUAUAAUGUGCCAGUCAUCACUGGUAGCAAAAAUUUGCAGAAGGUCAACAUCACACUGCGCAUUCUCUUCCGGCCUGUUGCUAGCCAGCUUCCUUGGAUCUUUACCAGCAUCGGACAGGACUAUGAUAAGCGUGCAUUGCCGUCCAUCACCACAGAGAUCCUCAAGUCAGUGGUGGCUCACUUUGAUGCUGGAGAACUGAUCACCCAGAGAGAGCUGGUCUCCAAGCAAGUGAGAGAUGACCUUACGGAAUGAGCGGCAAACUUUGGGAUCAUCCUGGAUGAUGUGUCCCUGACACAUCUGACCUUUGAGAAGGAGUUCACGGAAAUGGUGGAAGCCAAGCAGGUGGCUCAGCAGGAGGCAGAGAGCGCCAGAUUUCUGGUGGAAAAGGCUGAGCAGCAGAAGAAAGUGGCCAUCAUCUCUGCUGAGGGUGACUCCAAGGCAGCUAGGCUGAUUGCCAACUCACUGGCCAGUGCAGGUGAUGGCCUGAUUGAGCUACGCAAGCUGGAAGCUGCUGAAGACAUUGCUUACCAGCUCUCACGCUCUCAGAACAUCACCUACCUGCCACCAGGGCAAUCUGUACUCCUCCAGCCACCCCGGUGAGGCCUAUCCUCCUUGCACUUCCUUGAGCCAAAUGGACCACAGCCCUCAUGAUUCUGAGA